rnacentral:rRNA from 1 species
GUUAUCGUUUAUUUGAUAGUACCUUACUACUUGGAUAACCGUGGUAAUUCUAGAGCUAAUACAUGCUGAAAACCCCAACUUCGGGAGGGGUGUAUUUAUUAGAUAAAAAACCAACGCCCUUCGGGGCUUCUUGGUGAUUCAUGAUAACUUCACGGAUCGCAUGGCCUUGCGCCGGCGACGGUUCAUUCAAAUUUCUGCCCUAUCAACUUUCGAUGGUAAGGUAUUGGCUUACCAUGGUUUCAACGGGUAACGGGGAAUUAGGGUUCGAUUCCGGAGAGGGAGCCUGAGAAACGGCUACCACAUCCAAGGAAGGCAGCAGGCGCGCAAAUUACCCAAUCCCGACACGGGGAGGUAGUGACAAUAAAUACUGAUACAGGGCUCUUUUGGGUCUUGUAGUUGGAAUGAGUACAAUUUAAACCUCUUAACGAGGAACAAUUGGAGGGCAAGUCUGGUGCCAGCAGCCGCGGUAAUUCCAGCUCCAAUAGCGUAUAUUAAAGUUGUUGCAGUUAAAAAGCUCGUAGUUGAAACUUGG